GAUGAACGCUGGCGGCGUGCCUAACACAUGCAAGUCGAGCGAACCCUUUGGGGUGAGCGGCGGACGGGUGAGUAACGCGUGGGUAACCUGCCCUAUACACACGGAUAACGUACCGAAAGGUACGCUAAUACGGGAUAAAGUUGUUGGAUGGCAUCUUCUAACAAUCAAAGCUCCGGCGGUAUAGGAUGGACCCGCGUCUGAUUAGCUAGUUGGUGAGGUAAUGGCUCACCAAGGCGACGAUCAGUAGCCGACCUGAGAGGGUGAUCGGCCACACUGGAACUGAGACACGGUCCAGACUCCUACGGGAGGCAGCAGUGGGGAAUAUUGCACAAUGGGCGAAAGCCUGAUGCAGCAACGCCGCGUGAGCGAUGAAGGUCUUCGGAUCGUAAAGCUCUGUCCUCAAGGAAGAUAAUGACGGUACUUGAGGAGGAAGCCCCGGCUAACUACGUGCCAGCAGCCGCGGUAA
rnacentral:rRNA from 1 species